rnacentral:lncRNA from 1 species
GGGUGUCACUCUCUUCAGCCGCCAUAAUGAAGAAUGUGUGCAUGCAUUUGAGAGAGUGAAAGAACCAGAGACUACAGAGGUCACAGAACAGUUUAUAACCUUGUAGUAUCUGACAUUUCCUGAUACUUGGUGCUAGUAGAUCAAAAUUUACCCAACUCUCAGAAAGAAGAGUCUAUGUCCCUGUACACAGAAUCUGGCUUGACUUUGCGACUUGCUUUCACCAAUCAAAUGCAGAAGAAGUGAAGUCUGGUCCUCAGGAGGUUUUGUACUCCUCUGCUGACUCUCCUGGGAUGCUAAAAACGCCAUGAGUCCUAGUUACGACUAACUUACAUGGCCUAGUCACCUCCAUUGUCCAAGCCAAUAGGUACCCAGCCAUCACACCUAGAGUGAGGCCAUUCCAAUCUCCAGCUGAUCUGCUGUGGAUGAGCAUGGCCAAGAUCAACUGAGCUUGGCUCAGAUGAGCAAGACUCCCUGGAUAACCUACAAUCUUGUGGAGAAAUGGAGGCACUCAUGGAUCAAGCAUUUUCCCAGGGCCACAUAGUUAAUGUAGCACUUAGAAGACUGGGUAUCUUUUUCAAUGCCACAUAGUAGCACAGCUAGGAGUUGAACCAGGCAGUCUGGUGCUACAGGCCAUACAUUUUGACAUGUGUUUUGUUGCCUCUUGACAAAGUCCAUGGACUGUGAUCCUGGGACCAACAGCAUCAGUAUCAACUGGGAACUUCUUAGAAAUUCAAAUUCUUGGGGCUAUUCCCCAAAUUUCUGAGUCAGAAGCUCUGGGGAUAGGGCCCAGCAAGCUAUGUGUUAACAGACUUUUUAGAUCAGGGGUUCCCCCCAACUCCCAGGCCAAGAACCAGUACCAGUCUGUGGCCUGUUAGGAACCAGGCUGCACAGCAGGAGGUGAGGGCAGGUGAGCAUUACUGCCUGAGCCCUGCCUCCUCCUAUCAGAUCAGUGGUGUCAUGGCAUUAGAUUCUCACAGGAUCAAGAACCAUAUUGUGAACUGCACACACAAGGGAUAUAGGCUGCAUGCUCCUUAUAAGCAUCUAAUGCCUGAUGACCUGAGCUAGAACAAUUUCAUCCUGAAACCACCUCCCCCUUCCCCCAACCCCGUCCGUGAAAAAAUUGUCUUCUAUGAAACUGGCCCCUGGUGCCAAAAAGGUUGGGGGUGGCUGUUUCAGAUUAUUCUUACUCAGGAUAAAAUUUGAGGACACCUGCCCUAGCUCCUUAAAUUUAAGCUAUAAUUCAUAAAUUGGGUUCUUACGGUGCAUUAGAAUAAUGCAUUGAAUAGGUGAUUUUUGGAUGACUCCUAUGUGCUAACUACCAUUGUACUUGUAGGUGUUACCAUGCAGAACAAAAGCCGUCUCUGCAUCUACACUCUUGGUAAUUGAGACUUUGUGGCUGCUCGUUUGAAGAGAUAGAAUCUAAUUCCCUAGCCUUGUCUCUGGACUGGCCUUAUGAUUCUCUUUAACCAUAGAAUGUGGGAGAAGUGAUGAUGUGCCUAUUCUAAGUCUAGGCCUCAAGAAGUCUUGAAAGAUUCUGUUCCCUCUUGGUUAGUCCACUGGAGGAUGAGAGACCCACGGCCCAAUAACCUCCAUUGCCUCGGCCAACAGACAGUCAACUUCCAGUCUCACCAUUGCCUAGACUACCACAGGGACCACAGACACAUAACGGUGCCCAGCCAAGACAAGAAGAAACAUCCAGCUGAGUCCAGCCUAAAUUGCUGAUCUGCAGAAUUGAAAACUUGGGAGGAAGACAUACUAUACCACAUGGUCCUUUCCUUUUUCUGUGGAUGGCAAAAAGAUGCAUCACUUCCCGGAGCUUAUGAUAGAAGAUGCUCCUUCGCCAGUGUGAGACACUUAAAAGGACAAUGAUUUGUGCAGGGAACUAACCCUGUGUGCUACGUGUCCUUUUGCUCCAUUUUACUGAUGUGACAAUUGGAGCAGAAUAGUUUAUGUGGCAAAUUUUCCCAGCAUUUAUUUGCACUGCUUACUACAUUCACAUUCUAGUUUACAAAUCUUGACAAAGACAACUGAAUAGGUGUUUUGCAUGAAUGUACUUAUUUUGUAUUGAAGUAUGACACACAUGCAGAGAAGUGACAUUGUCAUAAGCAAAUGGCUUGAUGGCUUUUACAAACUGAAUGUAUGUAUAACCAACAUCGAGAACUAGAAGCAGCUUUUUCAGCCCCUCCUUCCUGAAACUUUUCCUCUCCUUCCACCUUGACCAAGUGUAAUCUCUCUCCUGACCUCUGGCAGAAUAGGUUAGUUUUGCUUAUUUUUAUUUUUAUAUGAGGUGAAUCUCUAGUGUCUGGGUUCUUUUCCUGAAAGCUGUGUUUAUGGAAUUCAUCCAUAUCAUUGUAUGUGGUUAUAGAUUCUCAUUGCUGUGUAGUAGUUCAAUGGCAUGAAUAUACACUAAUCAUUUAUCCGUUCCACUGUUGAUGUGCAAUUGGAGAAUUUCCAAUUUAGAGCUAUUAUGAAUAAUGCUGCUAGAGCCAUUCUAAUGCAUAUCUUCCAGUGAACACAUAUACGCAGUUCUCUUGGGAAUAUUCCUAAGUGUGGAAUUGCUGGGUCGUAGAUGUACAUUUUUAAAAAUCAUAAUAUUAGAGUCGAGUAUGCAGAAUUGACUGAAUUCUAAAACCAAAAGCUAAUUUUUUGAAGUGUGAAUUUCUGUUUGGGGAAAGUGAAUAAUGUGAAGAAACAUAACAUUUUUAUUUAUGGAAAUAAAUUUCAUGUCCUCUGAGCUAACAUCGCCCGUUCUUACGUCUGAAUGGCAGGAUGUUGAGUGUGCUGACGCGGUCAUUUUCUGCGGGGCUGCUCCCAGCUUAGCAUUCUUGCCACAUAAACUCUUCUAGCCCAAACCUUGAAAUACUGCAGGAAGUGGCAUCAGCCCUUUUGUGUUCUUUUCCGGCACCAGGUUGCUCAUCUCUCCCUGUGCCCAUUUGAGGUAAUAUACUGACAGUUGUCAAGAUGAGUCAUGGCUCUUUCUCAGACACACAGGGAGACCAAGUUUGUGACUAAUCGACAAAUCCUCUGGACACAGGCUGAGCCACCAAGAGCCACCCUCGUCCCGGCAAGUUCAGGCCUGGGCUGCAACCUCUGACAGCCAGAGGGGAAAGCAAACAUUGGCAGAACAGUUCUGUUUAUUUGCUUCUCUGAUUUUGAAGACAUGCAGCUUUCUCUCACUCUUCUCCAUUUCCUCUAAAAAAUUUUAUUAAUCUUAGCUUAUUUAUGGCCUUUAGCGUUUGUCUGCCUGUUCAUGCAUGUGCUCAGAAU